rnacentral:rRNA from 1 species
UACGUAUGGUGCAAGCGUUAUCCGGAUUUACUGGGUGUAAAGGGAGCGCAGGCGGCACGGCAAGCCUGAUGUGAAAGCCCGCGGCCCAACCGCGGGACUGCAUUGGGAACUACCGGGCUGGAGUGCCGGAGAGGUAGGCGGAAUUCCUAGUGUAGCGGUGAAAUGCGUAGAUAUUAGGAGGAACACCAGUGGCGAAGGCGGCCUAUUGGACGGUGACUGACGCUGAGGCUCGAAAGCGUGGGGAGCAAGCAGG